ACAACUUCUCUUAGUUGAACUACACACAAGGGCAUACCCAUGGCAUGGAGCUGGAAAGGGCUUCUUUACAAAACCAUGGCUUUCCUGGAAUUUUUGACUUCGCCGCUCAAUCAUUGGUGCCUACUCAAAAAAAGAGCCGAAGAGUGACAGUUGCUUACCGUACCUUCGCUGAAAGGCUGCAUUCUAGAUGAUGUGAUUUUUUUGAGACAUGUGUAUGCUUCUUGAAAUGAGAAAACAUCCUAACUGUGAAAGAGCGCUGUCAUCACUGUGUCCUCUAAGUACCAUGUGCAGGAUUGCAAAACAACAUGGGCGCUCUAGCUCACAUGCCAUCGAGAAUGACCUAAUUGACAACUUUCUUUCCAAAACCGUG